CCAACCGCAGCAAUACAUCUCCUGCUCGCAGCCAGACUAGCCAACACAGCAAUACAUCUCCUGCUCGCAGCCAGACUAGCCAACACAGCAAUACAUCUCCUGCUUGCAGCCAGACUAGCCAACACAGCAAUACAUCUCCUUCUCACAGCCAGACUAGCCAACACAGCAAUACAUCUCCUGCUCACAGCCAGACUAGCCAACACAGCAAUACAUCUCCUGCUCGCAGCCAGACUAGCCAACACAGCAAUACAUCUCCUGCUCGCAGUCAGACUAGCCAACACAGCAAUACAUCUCCUGCUCGCAGCCAGACUAGCCAACACAGCAAUACAUCUCCUUCUCACAGCCAGACUGGCCAACACAGCAAUACAUCUCCUUCUCGCAGCCACACUAGCCAACACAGCAAUACAUCUCCUGCUCACAGCCUGACUAGCCAACACAGCAAUACAUCUCCUGCUCGCAGCCCAACACAGCAAUACAUCUCCUGCUCGCAGCCAGACUAGCCAACACAGCAAUACAUCUCCUACUCGCAGCCAGACUAGCCAACACAGCAAUACAUCCCUUUGUCCCUUUAAUAAUGGGUAAAUGUGAACAUGUUAGGACAUGUCGGACAGAUUGCGAUGAGAUGGUCUGGGUGUCUAUAGUGUCCCUUUAAUAAUGGGUAAAUGUGAACAUGUUAGGACAUGUCGGACAGAUUGCGAUUAGAUGAUCUGGGUGCCUAUAGUGUCCCUUUAAUAAUGGGUAAAUGUGAACAUGUUAGGACAUGUCGGACAGAUUGCGAUGAGAUGGUCUGAGUGUCUAUAGUGUCCCUUUAAUAAUGGGUAAAUGGGAACAUGUUAGGACAUGUCGAACAGGUUGCGAUGAGAUGGACUGGGUGUCUAUAGUGUCCCUUUAAUAAUGGGUAAAUGUGAACAUGUUAGGACAUGUCGGACAGAUUGCGAUGAGAUGGUCUGAGUGCCUAUAGUGUCCCUUUAAUAAUGGGUAAAUGUGAACAUGUUAGGACAUGUCGGACAGAUUGCGAUGAGAUGGUCUGAGUGUCUAUAGUGUCCCUUUAAUAAUGGGUAAAUGGGAACAUGUUAGGACAUGUCGGACAGAUUGCGAUGAGAUGGUCUGGGUGCCUAUAGUGUCCCUUUAAUGAUGGGUAAAUGGGAACAUGUUAGGACAUGUCGGACAGAUUGCGAUGAGAUGAUCUGGGUGCCUAUAGUGUCCCUUUAAUAAUGGGUAAAUGUGAACAUGUUAGGACAUGUCGGACAGGUUGCGAUGAGAUGGUCUGAGUGUCUAUAGUGUCCCUUUAAUAAUGGGUAAAUGUGAACAUGUUAGGACAUGUCGGACAGGUUGCGAUGAGAUGGUCUGGGUGUCUAUAGUGUCCCUUUAAUAAUGGGUAAAUGUGAACAUGUUAGGACAUGUCGGACAGAUUGCGAUGAGAUGGUCUGGGUGCCUAUAGUGUCCCUUUAAUGAUGGGUAAAUGGGAACAUUUUAUGACAUGUCGGACAGAUUGCGAUGAGAUGGUCUCGAUGUCUGUAGUGUCCCUUUAAUGAUGGGUAAAUGGGAACAUUUUAUGACAUGUCGGACAGAUUGCGAUGAGAUGGUCUCGAUGUCUGUAGUGUCUCUUUAAUAAUGGGUAAAUGGGAACAUGUUAGGACAUGUCGGAACAGAUUGCGAUGAGAUGGUCUGAGUGUCUAUAGUGUCCCUUUAAUAAUGGGUAAAUGGGAACAUGUUAGGACAUGUCGGACAGAUUGCGAUGAGAUGGUCUCGGUGUCUAUAGUGUCCCUUUAAUAAUGGGUAAAUGGGAACAUGUUAGGACAUGUCGGACAGAUUGCGAUGAGAUGGUCUCGGUCUCUAUAGUGUCCCUUUAAUAAUGGGUAAAUGGGAACAUGUUAGGACAUGUCAGACAGAUUGCACUGAGAUGGUCUGGGUGCCUAUAGUGUCCCUUUAAUAAUGGGUAAAUGGGAACAUGUUAGGACAUGUCAGACAGAUUGCGAUGAAACAAUCCCGCUGGAUGUCUGUUUAGAAUCAAUGGCAAGAUGGAUCAGGAGUGACUAGUGAGAAUGGUCAUAGAUUCCAAAUGCGAGUCACUGUUAAUGGCUCAGUUCAUACAGUGUCCAUCUGGAUCUAAUUAAAGCAAAAAGGGAAAUAAAAUGAGGUAGCGUUUGUCUACACGGAAGAUCUACAAACCCUGUCGCACUUCAAUGAGACAACUCGCAGCUCAUCCCAUGUUAUCUCAAGUCAGAGUGUCAGGAAGGAUUGUGUAUAAAUACUCUGCAUAUAGUGCACUAGUUACAAUAUAAAAGUAAAACAUUUUGAAAUUUGUCUUUAAUGUUUUUUACUGCUAUGGCAAGCUGUGAGAGACACAUGUAACAUCAUAGCUGUGUUCUGAUUGGUUGCUUGGUGCUUUCAGCCAAUCAGAAAACACCUGCAAUUCAACUCAUGGUUUGUGGCUAGAAAGUACACGGAUAAU
rnacentral:lncRNA from 1 species